rnacentral:rRNA from 1 species
AAACCGGUUGAUCCUGCCGGACCCGACCGCUAUCGGGGUAGGGCUAAGCCAUGCGAGUCGCGCGCCCGGGGGCGCCCGGGAGCGGCGCACGGCUCAGUAACACGUGCCUAACCUAACCUCGGGAGGGGGACACCCCCGGGAAACUGGGGUCAAUCCCCCAUAGGGGAAGGGCGCUGGAAGGCCCCUUCCCCGAAAGGGACGGCGGCCGAUCCGUCGCCGUCCGCCCGAGGGUGGGGGCACGGCCCAUCAGGUAGUUGGCGGGUUAAAGGCCCGCCAAGCCGAAGACGGGUAGGGGCGGUGAGAGCCGCGAGCCCCGAGAUCGGCACUGAGACAAGGGCCGAGGCUACGGGGUGCAGCAGGCGCGAAUACUCCGCAAAUGGGGGAAGGCCGGAUCGCGCGCUUCCGGCCUCCCCCAGCGGAAUGCGGGCAACCGCGACGGGGCUACCCCGAGUGCGGGCGAAGAGCCCGGCUUUUGCCCGGUCUAAAACGCCGGGCGAAUAAGCGGGGGGCAAGUCUGGUGUCAGCCGCCGCGGUAAUACCAGCUCCGCGAGACCGGGGCUUCCCACAGAAAAGAUAUAACCCUCCUCUCUUUCCCUCUGGCAUGAGGGGGGCAGCCGACAGGAAGUACAUUGCGGGCGUCGUAAUGGGAGACGGAAUGGUUUAUCACAGGGCUAAAACGGGGUAUGAGGUGAAAAUAACGGAUAAAAACGAGGCUUACAUUAAGUACUUAGCGGAUCUCAUCAGCGCAGUAUACGGGAUAACGCCGAGAGUGGCCAAAGACCCUCUCAGAAACGCCUGGCGGCUCAGAGCCUUUAAAAAGGCGCUGUACCUGCAGAUAAAACGCGAUAUAGAGUGGGCCAAGGGCGAGCCCGACAGCCACGUUGUAGGAGGGCUGUACGACGCGGAGGGAUACUGGAACCCUAAAAAGAGAAAGCUGGCUUUUACUAAUAAGGAAGUCUUUAUUAUAAAGCUGGUGAGCCAGUUCCUCAGCGGCCAAAACAUAAGCCACUCAGUAUACCAGAGGAAAAAGGGGCAGUACAGCUGGUACGUAAUAGAAGUCCACAAACAACAAGCGCUUAGAUUAAUGUCAAUACUAGACCUCAGACACCCGAAAUGGGGCGUGGCCCCUCCCUAACCCCCCUUUUUCGGAACUCCUCUGUGGGAGCCCCGGCGCGAGUGGUCGGGGUGUUUACUGGGCUUAAAGCGCCCGUAGCCGGCCCGGCAAGUCGCUCCUGAAAUCCCCGGGCUCAACCCGGGGGCGGGGGGCGAUACUGCCGGGCUAGGGGGCGGGAGAGGCCGCCGGUACUCCGGGGGUAGGGGCGAAAUCCGUUAAUCCCCGGAGGACCACCAGUGGCGAAAGCGGGCGGCCAGAACGCGCCCGACGGUGAGGGGCGAAAGCCGGGGGAGCAAACCGGGCCCAGGCCAGCAAGAAUUUAAGGAGCAUAGCCCAGUCCUACAUGAGGUGCGAUAGGUACGGGGUUCUAAGAGUUCUGCCGUUUAUACUAUCAGACGGCGGAAUCUACAAGGCAAGAGAGAUAUACUUCACCACGACAGACGCGGCGUUGGUUGACCACUUCAGAAGAGCCGCAACGGAGGCGUUUAAUUAUGGAGGAUACGUGGUGAGAAGGAGUAAUGGGGCCUAUGUGGUGAAAAUAAAGGGCCGCGACUACGUCAGAUGCGUAGAAGCCGUGAUGCCAGACAUCUUAUACAAAAAUGAUAUAAGCCGCGCCGUCACGUUACCCAGCGAGUUAUUCAGAGAUCAAGAUCUCGCUAAGUGGUUCCUAAAGGUAUAUGCCUCUUGCGAUGGCGGCGUGUCUAUCAUGCGAGGGAAAAGAGGAAACACAGUAUUCUACGUCAGAAGAGUAUUCAUAACAGCCAAAAAUGUUCACCUAAGAAGCCAAGUCCGGGAAUUGUUCAAAACCCUUCAGUACUCGCCGCAAGAUGAUAAAGAUAAACACGUCUACCUAUCAAGAAAAGAGGACAUUACUAAAUACGCAAGAGAGAUAAGAUUCCUAGAGAACGUAAAGGUGACGGGCAACUCCAAGAGAUUUCGCGGAUUGGACAAAAAUCACUUGCUCGACCUCGUGGUCAAAUCUUACGGGAACCCCCACCUGCUAGAUCCUUUUUUCCAAACUUAAUCUUCAUCCCCACUUGCUGGCCUGGCCCGGGCUCAAAGGGGAUUAGAUACCCCUGUAGUCCCGGCCGUAAACGAUGCGGGCUAGCUGUCGGUCGGGCUUAGGGCCCGGCCGUGGCGAAGGGAAACCGUUAAGCCCGCGCCUGGGGAGUA